rnacentral:rRNA from 1 species
GAUGAACGCUGGCGGCGUGCUUAACACAUGCAAGUCGAACGGUGAAGGCGGAGCUUGCUCUGCUGGAUCAGUGGCGAACGGGUGAGUAACACGUGAGCAAUCUGCCCCUGACUCUGGGAUAAGCGCUGGAAACGGCGUCUAAUACUGGAUACGAGCUGCGAAGGCAUCUUCAGCAGCUGGAAAGAAAUUCGGUCAGGGAUGAGCUCGCGGCCUAUCAGCUUGUUGGUGAGGUAAUGGCUCACCAAGGCGUCGACGGGUAGCCGGCCUGAGAGGGUGACCGGCCACACUGGGACUGAGACACGGCCCAGACUCCUACGGGAGGCAGCAGUGGGGAAUAUUGCACAAUGGGCGAAAGCCUGAUGCAGCAACGCCGCGUGAGGGACGACGGCCUUCGGGUUGUAAACCUCUUUUAGCAGGGAAGAAGCGAAAGUGACGGUACCUGCAGAAAAAGCGCCGGCUAACUACGUG